rnacentral:ribozyme from 13 species
UUUUUUUUUUUUUUUUUUUUUUUUUUUUGCCU